UGACCAGAUUUUAAAGAGAUU
rnacentral:piRNA from 1 species